AUCCAAGAGAGCUCCUUUUAAUCAUCCGCCACCCUCAGACCGUCUGCCAAGAGGAGCACAGGAUGAACUUCCAGCUGAUGAGCAGUGGUUGCCUUCAUUUCCAAACAGCUGCUGUGAUUAAUUGCACAGAGGAGACGCGUUUCUCCUUUCGGUGCUGAUGAAGCUUUGGGGUGCGGGGUCGCAUUGCAAACGCUGCUCCCAGAUGCACGGCCACGUCGGUGCUUUUGCACAGCAGGGAUGCACCAGCAGACUGGUGAUUUGCACGGCGGGGACGCACGGCCACACUGGUGCUUUUGCACGGCACGGAUGCUUUGGGCACACCAGUAUUUUUGCACAGCAGAGAUGCACAACCAUGCUGGUGCUUUGCACGGCAGGAACGAAGAGUCACACUGGUGCUUUUGCACAGCAGGGAUGCACGACCACACUGGUGCUUUUGCACAGCAGGGAUGCACAACCGUGCUGAUGCUUUUGCACAAGAGGGAUGAAUGGUCACAGCAGUGCCUUUGCAUGGUAGGAAUGCACAGCAGGGAUGCACGACCACACUGGUACUUUUGCACAGCAGGGUGCAAAGCAGGGAUGCACGACCACACUGGUGCUUUUGCACAGCAGGGUGCAAAGCAGGGAUGCACAUCAGGGAUGCACGACCACACUGGUGCUUUUGCACAGCAGGGAUGCACAUCAGGGAUGCACGACCACACUGGUGCUUUUGCACAGCAGGGAUGCACAACCGUGCUGAUGUUUUGUACAAGAGGGAUGAAUGGUCACAGCAGUGCCUUUGCAUGGUAGGAAUGCACAGCAGGGAUGCACGAGCACACUGGUGCUUUUGCACAGCAGGGAUCGACAGCCAUGCAGAGCAGUGGAGAGGCUGAAGGGACACGGUGGCAUCCUGGCCCCCAGCAUGGUCUGCAAGGACACCACGUGUCCCCAAGCUGGCUGUGCAGCAGUGCUCAGGAGCCACCGUGCUGCUGGAGGCUGCAGGCUGCACGGUGCACGCACAAAGAAUCCACCAGUAGCAAAACAGAGAGAGGAACCCUGGCUUUUUGAGGCCAUUAAUGAACCCACAGCACUUUCUGAAAGAGUCCCCGUGCUUACUGCAAAGCUCUGGCCCCGCUCCAGCCACAGUAAUUACAUUCUGCCUCUAAGAUCUCCCCUGAAUUUGUGAUCAGGACGGGAGAGAGUAUCAGCAGGGCAAGGAUGAGGGAACACCAAGUGGGUGCUUGGGUGCUGCGGGGGGGGGAUUGGGGACGCUGGGAGGUUUGGGGAUGCUGAAGGGCUGCUGGGAUGCUGGGUGGGGGGCGGGUGGGAUAC
rnacentral:lncRNA from 1 species